CCCCCGCCCCGCGCGGCGCAGGAGCUCAGUCCGAGUCAGGGCGGUGGUUCACUACAAAACUGCUUUAAUUUGGAAAAUAUUCAAAACACAAGGUAACGACGCAGCCCGGUGGCUCGGGUAAGCAGGUCUAGGAACCGCACCCCCGGUGAGCGCACGUCAAGUCACAGGAAACCAACAAAAAAUGUUUGUAAAAGUCAGGAAACAAGAACACACACGCACGUCCAAAACCAGAAAGAUGAACGACCCCUGACGCCUUCCCGAGGUUCACAGGCUGCUGACCCGGGCCGCGGGAUUCACUUCCUCCGACCGGUGCGGCCUGGAAACCCAAGCCCUGGGGGCCGCCGAGGAGCAAGGCAGCCACUCUGGGGCGUCAGGGGCCUCCCCGGGGACACAGGGGCCCGCACGGCCCCGCAGCCCACGCCAGCUCCCCGGCGCACCUGCCCUCCAGCUCCAGACUCACGGUGGACAGGGCUCCGCUUUCUGGAGGAAGAAGACGACCCUGUGUCACGCGUCCACAUGAGAUGCCAAGACCCUGGCCUCUCUCUGGUGGGAUUCCCAGGAGCGAGACCCACCAGCGGGAGCCCUCAGAACCCACCCACGCUGCUCACGUCCCCGGGCCCACUGAGGCACCAACGCUGCCCACGGUGCCGAGCAGACACACGGGGCUGCAGCCAGGGGCCUCACAGAAGCACUAAGGCCCUGGGCCCCCUCCAUCCCACUCACCGUCUGCAGCCCCACCCUCCCCUUCAGCUGGCUCAGGCCAGGCCAGCUGCUCUCAGACCCUCCACCCCUACCCCUCUGCAGUGCCUCCUUGUCAGGGGCUCCCCUGGGUGCCCACCCACCUUCUAAGGCCCUGGCCCCAGUGGUGUCCGGGGGCCUCUGAACGCUGGUUCUGAUCGGCUAGAGGUCCCGACAUUUGUGCCCAGGACAGCAUGGAGGAGGGGGCCUGGUCCUCCCCAGACCCAGGAAGGCCGCUUUCUGGGCACACAGUCCGUGCCUCACCUGGCUUGUUCACUCGACACACCUCAUCCCAGGUGUAGUCAGCAAGGUUCACGGGCUGGAUCACCCAGGGGUCUGUCACCAGCUUCUCCAAGGUGGUGCGCUGCUCAGGGACAGGCUGCAGCAGCCCAGAUAUGAGGUGCAUGAGAGCUGGAGACACAAAGACCCCCCUGGGCAUGUGGCCAGAAGACUGACAGUGGGUCCGGGCUGGGCUCAAGCGGACCAGGUCUCAAAACUUCGGGUCCUGGCUCUGCGUACCAUGAGCACCGGACUGGGCGGCCAGUGGCCUGGAACCUCCACACCUGAUGAGACCUAGGGGCUCGGGCAUAUGGGCCUGGCCGUGCCCCGAGAUGCUCGUCCCCUCUGAAAGCGUGGGGUUCAGGACCCCACCUCGCUCAGCCUGUUCUCAGGGCUCUGGACACGCAGAGCCUCAAAUGACCCUGGGUUUGUACAACAUGAAGGGCAGGAGACAGCCGCAGGCAAAGCCUUCAUCGUCCCCCCAGAAGGAAGCACAGCCCCAGCCCCAGGUCUAGAUUUGGGUCCCACUUCCUGUGACGGUGCAGGCAUCUCCAACCAGGGCUGCUCUGAGCCUCAGCAUCCCUGAGGGGAGCCCUGGGAACCACGAGGGAACACGUGGGGUGGCUCUGUGGGGGGUGCAGCAUGCUGCAGAGGGCGUGCUCCCCGGGAGCCCAGGACCUUGGCAAAGCCCGAAGGAUCCUCUUCUAGGCUGCCACGGACUGAACUGCCUCCAUAGAGUGGAGCCCUAACCCCCGGUGGCCCCUGGGAGGUAAGCAGGGUCACAAGAGAUCAUGAAGGUAGGGCCCCAGGAUGGAAUUAGUGCCCUUGUAAGAAGAGAGACAGGGGCGCCUGAGGGGCUCAGAUGCCUAACUGUCCGCCCCGGCUCAGGUCAUGGUCCCAGGGCCCUGGGAUCGAGUCCCACGUCGGGCUCCCUGCCCAGCGAGGAGUCUGCUUCUCCCUCUCCCUCUGCCUUACUCCCCACUCAUCUGCACUCACACACUUUCAAAUAAAUACAAUCUUAAAAAAAAUUA